GGUGCAAUGAACAAUGCCAGCCAUCACGACUUGCCAAGAAAGAAAUUUGUGGUUUAUGCUUUAUGCAUGUGAGACAGGGGCAGCUGCAGCCUGGAGCAAUAUGCGUGUCAAAAGACAAGGUGGCGGCGAUAAGACGUGAGUGAGACAAACGAUGACCGCAUCGACGGCGAAUCUUUCAGAGAUGAUAGUUUAUAUCUACGUCCUUUUUGUACAAUAGAGUACAGAAUACAUCCUGUGUGCAACUAAUGCAGAGUAUAUUCAAGAUGCCAACACACUG